CUGACUAGGUGCUUCCAAAUGACUUGACUGAACUUGAAGUCUUUCACCUCAGCUGCUGAAGCUCUCUGCGAAGUUGCCUGUUUCAGUCACUGUGUUCCUUGAGUUCUUCUAUUUCUAUUUGGCUCUUGGGUUUCUGGGAUGCACUUUUUGUACUUCGAGUUUAGUUUUGAUUCACUGUUCUGUUUGGUUUUUCAACCCUCUUCUCAUGUGACUCUCAGCUUCAUUAAGGUGACUAUUUUGAGGUCCUUAUCAGGGAGUGUGUAGAUGUUCAUUUCUUUAGUGUCUGUUAUGGAGAUUUUAUCUUGUUGCUUUUCUAGCAUCACAGUCUGUGACCAUCUGUGGUCCUUGUGACUUCAUGUUGAUACUUGUACAUUUGUAGACAGAACAUCUCUUCUAGGACUUAAGAUUGAUUUACAUGUGUGAAGUCCUUUACCAGUCAGUCUGCCCGAGGAUUUUAGGAUGGCCAGCUAUCUGGUUAGAUCACAAAGAGUAUUUCUGCUAGUCUUUAGACAGACAUGCUGCAUCUUAGGUCAGUACAUAGACAGACUUGGUGCCUGGGCUCCCAAGUGUCCAUAUUGUGUCCUGUUUUUAGGGCUAGAUCUGAAACCCAAGUCAAUUGGUGUAGGAUUAGACCUUGAGUCUCCAUGAGCAGUCCUGGUGUCCUGAUCUAUAAUAGGGUAAAGGAUGUUAGAAUUUGGAUCUCCAAAAGCCAGCCUGGAAUCUUGGCUUACAAUAUCUGACCUAUAUCUUCAGUUAGUUUAGAAGUUUAGUAUGUAGGCUCAACUUGGAAAUUAAGCUAAUGGAGACAGUUUGGCUUUAGGUUUGGACUAAAAUAUGUAUUGUUAGGAGUGGGACUAUAAACCAUGGCAAUGAUGGAGCCUCAUUCUCUGAAGCCUCAUCUGCCCCUUGGAUUUGAGCCUAAAGUUUGGAGAAGACAGCCUGGCACGAGGGCAGGAUGAGAACCUGGGACCAUAGGGGCUUGCCAGACCAUGAGGUCACUGAGGUCUAUUGUGAAGAGGAUGUUCCAUCCAUAUUCCACUUCCACAUGGGGUGUCUCUCUUCUAUGUUGUACUAACUGUGACUGGGCUUUGGGGUGGGAUAAUUCUCUCCACUCUAUGAAAUUGUCUCCCCAACUUCUUCACCAUACUUUCCUUUAUUGAGACACUCCACUCUGAUGUGAUAACAGCGCUCCUGGAGUUCUAAGAUUUUGAGAAGCCUCCAGAUCAAAAGCCUAGACAGCAAGACACGGCCUCUACUUUUAAUAAAAGAAGAUGCUGCAGCAUGGGACGCAAGGAUUGGGAGCACAGACUCUCUGCUUUAACUCACGAGAAAACCACUUUUGAAUACCACAGAAGAUGUGAUGUUCCUCAGUGGUUUACUGUGUAAGGCUGCAUGCUUGUUCAAUAAAGGUUCAGCUUCACGAACUAACCACA